rnacentral:rRNA from 1 species
AUGCAAAUCUUUGUGAAGACCCUCACCGGCAAGACCAUCACCCUCGAGGUUGAGUCUUCCGACACGAUCGAUAAUGUCAAAGCGAAGAUCCAGGACAAAGAGGGCAUCCCCCCAGACCAGCAACGGUUGAUCUUUGCCGGCAAGCAACUUGAGGAUGGACGCACUCUUGCUGAUUACAACAUCCAAAAAGAAUCCACUCUCCACUUGGUUCUCCGUCUCCGUGGUGGCAUGCAGAUAUUUGUCAAGACCUUGACCGGCAAGACCAUUACCCUGGAGGUUGAGUCUUCAGACACAAUCGACAAUGUGACGGCGAAGAUUCAGGAUAAGGAGGGCACCCCCCCGGACCAGCAGCGCUUGAUCUUUGCAGGCAAGCAGCUUGAGGAUGGACACACCCUUGCUGAUUACAAUAUCCAGAAGGAAUCCACAUUGCAUCUGGUGCUCCGCCUUCGUGGUGGCAUGCAGAUCUUCGUCAAGACCCUUGAGGUUGAGUCUUCUGACACAAUCGACAACGUGAAAGCUAAGAUCCAGGACAAGAGGGUAUCCCCCCGGACCAGCAGUGUUAGACUAAGUAUAUAG